AUAGGGACCGACCAUGCUACCGCCUCAACAACACCUGUUGCAUAUGUGGUAGUGCCCAGCACUAUGCGAGAGAGUGCCCGAGGAACCAGAACCAAGGAAGACCUCCUUUUCAGGGCAGGGUUUACAACCUCACCCAACAGGAUGCCAACGCCGACCCGGACAUGGUACAGGGUAUGUACACUAUCUGUGACCAUAUUGCUCAUGUUUUAUUUGAUACUGGUACAUCGCAUUCAUUUGUUUCACAUGUUUUUGCAUCCUAACUUAAUAUAUCACCUGAUAAACUUGAUUCAAUAU
rnacentral:lncRNA from 1 species